GACGAACGCUGGCGGCGUGCUUAACACAUGCAAGUCGAACGGAAAGGCCCUGCUUUUGUGGGGUGCUCGAGUGGCGAACGGGUGAGUAACACGUGAGUAACCUGCCCUUGACUUUGGGAUAACUUCAGGAAACUGGGGCUAAUACCGGAUAGGAGCUCCUGCUGCAUGGUGGGGGUUGGAAAGUUUCGGCGGUUGGGGAUGGACUCGCGGCUUAUCAGCUUGUUGGUGGGGUAGUGGCUUACCAAGGCUUUGACGGGUAGCCGGCCUGAGAGGGUGACCGGCCACAUUGGGACUGAGAUACGGCCCAGACUCCUACGGGAGGCAGCAGUGGGGAAGAGUGCACAAUGGGCGGAAGCCUGAUGCAGCAACGCCGCGUGCGGGAUGACGGCCUUCGGGUUGUAAAACGCUUUCGCCUGUGACGAAGCGUGAGUGACGGUAAUGGGUAAAGAAGCACCGGCUAACUACGUG
rnacentral:rRNA from 1 species